AUGAAUGCACAGCCUCUCAAUGUGAUUGUGUGGAAUGUCCGGGGCCUUAAUGCUCUGGCCCGUCGGAAUGCAGUGUUUCAAGUAGUUGCAUCGGUAAAUCCGGCCAUUGUGUGCUUGCAAGAAACGAAGUUGCAAGAAGUUUCCCUGUCAGUUGUACAACAGUGCCUUGGCAAUAAAUUUGGGCAAUUCUUCUACCUGCCGGCGGCUGGGACUCGUGGUGGAAUUUUGGUGGCUUGGGAUGAUUCAAUUACCCAACUUUCAAACCCGCACUAUACAGAUAACACACUAACGGCGUUAGUCAAGACAGGUGACGAUCAAGAAUGGUGGCUCACAUGUGUGUAUGGCCCU
rnacentral:rRNA from 1 species